UGCGGAGACGGUGGAAGUAGCGCAUGCCGACCUUGCCAGAGCGUCUCAGGUGGCGGCCGUCAUGGCUACGGCUCUUCUUGAAACAGGUCUUCGCUACUGCCGUCGUUACCCCCACCGCCUCCGGAGAUCAAUCCCACCCCUUUCUCGCUAAGGUCGGGACUUUGGGAACAGAAUGGGGCGAGAGCUGUAACACGCACUGGAGAACGCGACUGAGAAGGAUAGAGAUGGAGUUCACGGCUUGGAGCGGCCUCUGGUUCGUCCUGCUUGAACCGUGCUCGCGAUACUUGCGAUGACGUGUAUCUUCUUUUUCCUGACCCGCUGGGUCCUGUAACGUGUGCUUCUAUCAAAUAAAAUAGUGAUUUCAGUAUCUUGUUUACCUCUCGUGUCAAAUAAUUGUCUGCCGAACUUCUUUCCUUCUCUUUGCCUGUGUCAUGCCGUUCCAAGACCGUCGGCGACCUUUUCAGUUAAUGUGGGGUCGUCCUUCGUCGGGCUUCUUUUCAGUUUUUUCUGCCGUUAGGAGAUAUCCACUUGUUAGGUUUGCUGGGAUCUUUCUCCGCUGGAGUUGGGGCUAGGUUCGAAGAAGCUCCUGGAAGUUGAAGUAGCAUAGUUUUCAUAAGAAUUAGGGCAAAGUCUUUCUGUAAUCAAAGUCAUAAGUAAAGUCCAGCUUCCGUAGAAGUCCGG
rnacentral:lncRNA from 1 species